CCUAAGUCACUUAGGAUCAAACCCGAUCCUAGCCUCAAACAGAAAAUCCAUUACGUGCUGCCCACGAAAAUCGAGUCGACUCCAAUUGAGAUCGAGUCAACUCGCCUGCAUCUGAGUCGACUCAUCCUGAACCUGAGUCGACUCAACUGCAUGCCACCUACGCACCGAUGAAACACAGCUCUCUAUCUAGUGCCCCUCUAAGAUUGAGUUGACUCAUCUCAGAAUCGAGUCGACUCCUCUACUGGCUGAAGCUGAUUCUUCUGCUGGCUUGCUCCCUGACUCCUUGACCUCUUUCCAUCUGUUCUUAAGACUUGGGAGUGCCACACCUGAGCUCACACAUCACC
rnacentral:lncRNA from 1 species